GGCGUAUUUUCUCCGGUGAGCGUAGCUGCCUGUAGUCGUUAGCAGCUACGUUGUCCGCGGGAUUCUAGCC
rnacentral:pre_miRNA from 1 species